rnacentral:rRNA from 1 species
UUAUAAGAGACAGCAGCCGCCGCGGGAAUACAGAGGGUGCGAGCGUUAAUCGGAUUUACUGGGCGUAAAGCGUGCGUAGGCGGCUUUUUAAGUCGGAUGUGAAAUCCCUGAGCUUAACUUAGGAAUUGCAUUCGAUACUGGGAAGCUAGAGUAUGGGAGAGGAUGGUAGAAUUCCAGGUGUAGCGGUGAAAUGCGUAGAGAUCUGGAGGAAUACCGAUGGCGAAGGCAGCCAUCUGGCCUAAUACUGACGCUGAGGUACGAAAGCAUGGGGAGCAAACAGGAUUAGAUACCCGCGUAGUCCCUGUCUCUUAUAC